rnacentral:lncRNA from 1 species
CCACCAUGCCUGGCUAAUUUUUGUACUUUUUUGUAGAGACAUGGUCUCACUCUGUUGCCCUGCCUGGUCUCAAAUUCCUGGGCUCAAGUGAUCCUCCUGCUUCAGCCUCCCAGAGGGCAGGAAUUACAGGUGUCAUCCACUGAGCCCGGCCCUCAGUUUCAAUUUCUAAUAUGGUGAAUAUUGGUAGAUAUAGCCAGCAAAAGCCAAAUAUCUUUGGUUCCUCGUUGGUUUUUCAGAGUAUAGAGGAAGGAAUAGUAACUGUCAAUCACAUCCCAAC